rnacentral:rRNA from 1 species
UCCGUAUGAGGCAAGCGUUGUUCGGACUUAUUGGGCGUAAAGGGCGUGUAGGCGGGGAGUUAAGUUAGGUGUGAAAUCAACAGGCUCAACUUGUGAACUGCACCUAAUACUGAUUCUCUUGAGUUCAGAAGAGGAGAGCGGAAUUCCCGGUGUAGCGGUGAAAUGCGGAGAUAUCGGGAAGAACACCAGUGGCGAAGGCGGCUCUCUGGUCCAGAACUGACGCUAAGGCGCGAAAGCGUGCGGAGCGAACGGG